GUGUGGUACUGGAAAGAUGGGUUAGUAUUAUAGGUGUGGUACUAGACAGAUGGGUUAGUAUUAUAGGUGUGGUACUAGACAGAUGGGUUAGUAUUUUAGGUGUGGUACUGGACAGAUGGGUUAUGGGUAGUAUUAUAGGUGUGGAACUAGACAGAUGGGUUAGUAUUAUAGGUGUGGUACUGGACAGAUGGGUUAGUAUUAUAGGUGUGGUACUAGACAGAUGGGUUAUGGGUAGUAUUAUAGGUGUGGUACUGGACAGAUGGGUUAGUAUUAUAGGAGUGGUACUGGACAGAUGGGUUAGUAUUAUAGGUGUGGUACUGGACAGAUGUGUUAGUAUUAUAGGUGUGGUACUAGACAGAUGGGUUAUGGGUAGUAUUAUAGGUGUGGUACUGGACAGAUGGGUUAGUAUUAUAGGAGUGGUACUGGACAGAUGGGUUAGUAUUAUAGGUGUGGUACAAGACAGAUGGUUUAUGGGUAGUCUUAUAAGUGUGGUACUGGACAGAUGGGUUAGUAUUAUAGGUGUGGUACUGGACAGAUGGGUUAGUAUUAUAGGUGUGGUAGUAGACAGAUGUGUUAUGGGUAGUAUUAUAGGUGGGGUACUAGACAGAUGUGUUA
rnacentral:lncRNA from 1 species